rnacentral:rRNA from 1 species
GUCAUAUGCUUGUCUCAAAGAUUAAGCCAUGCAUGUCUCAGUACAAGCCAAAUUAAGGUGAAACCGCGAAAGGCUCAUUAAAUCAGUUAUGGUUCCUUAGAUCGUACCCACAAUUACUUGGAUAACUGUGGUAAUUCUAGAGCUAAUACAUGCAAACAGAGCUCCGACCGGAGACGGAAGGAGUGCUUUUAUUAGAUCAAAACCAAUCGGUGGCGGGUUCGCGCUCGUUAUCGUACAACUUGGUGACUCUGAAUAACUUUACGCUGAUCGCACGGUCAUCGCACCGGCGACGCAUCUUUCAAAUGUCUGCCUUAUCAACUGUCGAUGGUAGGUUCUGCGCCUACCAUGGUUGUAACGGGUAACGGGGAAUCAGGGUUCGAUUCCGGAGAGGGAGCCUGAGAAACGGCUACCACAUCCAAGGAAGGCAGCAGGCGCGCAAAUUACCCACUCCCGGCACGGGGAGGUAGUGACGAAAAAUAACGAUACGGGACUCAUCCGAGGCCCCGUAAUCGGAAUGAGUACACUCUAAACCCUUUAACGAGGAUCAAUUGGAGGGCAAGUCUGGUGCCAGCAGCCGCGGUAAUUCCAGCUCCAAUAGCGUAUAUUAAAG